GGGGUUGACUGGUUUUGACGGGUUGGCCGAUUGACGUGUAAGCAUGUAGAGCGUUGAAGAUAGUUCUCUUUAAUCGGAAUCUUCAAAACACAAACGGCGAGUCUAACUACGCCAUGGCUGCCUAAUCUGAGAGAUUAGACACUUGCCAUCCGCCCGCUGCCGCUAUGUCUGGGCUGCAGCAGAUCACGGGCGGUCGGAAUGCCCGGAUACGAAGUGCUGAUGUCUGCCAGGUGCUUCGUUGUUACGCAGGCUACGGAUGGGCUAAGGUUGAUACCGGACCUUGCGCUUCCCGACAACAAUCGGUAGUAAACAUGUAGAAAGCGCGACUCAAUUCCAGUCCGGACCCGGGUUCGAAUCCCGGCAACUCCACCU
rnacentral:tmRNA from 1 species